rfam:Flavobacterium frigoris PS1 66_5, whole genome shotgun sequence.
UUAUAGGCUUUAUCAAAAGCCACAUAAUAGUUACCAACUAAUUUAU